CCUACGGGUGGCAGCAGUGAGGAAUAUUGGUCAAUGGUCGGGAGACUGAACCAGCCAAGCCGCGUGAGGGAGGAAGGUACAGAGUAUCGUAAACCUCUUUUGUCAGGGAACAAAGACUGGGACGCGUCCCCGGAUGAGUGUAUCUGAAGAAAAAGCAUCGGCUAACUCCGUGCCAGCAGCCGCGGUAAUACGGAGAAUGCGAGCGUUAUCCGGAUUGAUGGGGUUUAAAGGGUGCGCAGGCGGUCUGUAAAGUCAGCGGUCAAAGCCCGGGGCUCAACCCCGGCCCGCCGUUGAAACUGGGAGGCUCGAGUUGGAGAGAAGUAGGCGGAAUGCGCGGUGUAGCGGUGAAAGGCAUAGAUAUCGCGCAGAACUCCGAUUGCGAAGGCAGCAUGCCGGCUCCACACUGACGCUGAGGCACGAAAGCGUGGGUAGCGAACAGGAUUAGAUACCCCAGUAGUC
rnacentral:rRNA from 1 species